rnacentral:rRNA from 1 species
GGAUGAACGCUGGCGGCGUGCCUAAUACAUGCAAGUCGAGCGAACAGACGAGGAGCUUGCUCCUCUGACGUUAGCGGCGGACGGGUGAGUAACACGUGGAUAACCUACCUAUAAGACUGGGAUAACUUCGGGAAACCGGAGCUAAUACCGGAUAAUAUAUUGAACCGCAUGGUUCAAUAGUGAAAGACGGUUUUGCUGUCACUUAUAGAUGGAUCCGCGCCGCAUUAGCUAGUUGGUAAGGUAACGGCUUACCAAGGCAACGAUGCGUAGCCGACCUGAGAGGGUGAUCGGCCACACUGGAACUGAGACACGGUCCAGACUCCUACGGGAGGCAGCAGUAGGGAAUCUUCCGCAAUGGGCGAAAGCCUGACGGAGCAACGCCGCGUGAGUGAUGAAGGUCUUCGGAUCGUAAAACUCUGUUAUUAGGGAAGAACAAAUGUGUAAGUAACUAUGCACGUCUUGACGGUACCUAAUCAGAAAGCCACGGCUAUCUACGUG